AAACACAGUAAAACAAUUUCUUUUUUACUUCUUGACAUACAUAUUUAUUUCAUGAACAUAAUGAUAUACAAUGUACAUUAGUAUCCAUACUAAAACUUGUAGUUGUGUAUUUAGGUUUAAAAAGUAGUAACAAGAUGAAAGUUGUGUUCACGUACUUGUGUUUAGCUAGACAACUGUUUCUAAAGUGUUCCCUUUUUGGAAACAAGAGGAUUUCAUGGUUAUGUAAUGGAACUUCAACGUGAUAUUUGUUAUGAGUAAAAAGGGACAUGUUUUACAAGACAAGAAUUUUUGGAGAUUGUGUUAUAUCAUGUGCAUAUAUACAGUUAGUAAGGUAAGAGAGAUUUGCCUUUUAAAGCUUUUCAGGCAUGCAUUCAAAAUGUUACUACAGACACCACAGAAGUGUGUUAACAAUGCAAGACUUUAUUACAUGUAUCUGUUGAACUGUCUGCUAAGAUUAUCAUAUCAUGAUUACUAUAUAGAUAUAUACGAAUCCGGUAAAGUUAUCCGCCUAAUCAGAAGAGGAAACAUAUGUGCUUCUGUGUAUAUAUGAUUCCAAGUCUUGCUAUAUUAGUAUCAAAUGGUUUUCUAUAGCAUGGAUAAAACAGCUAGCUACUAUUUGAAAUAACUCCCAUUCACUGAUGAAAAUGCUGAUAUGCUAAAUUGGCUCUACACGGUGAAUAUAAAUGUAAAGGAUACACUGGCUCGUCUUGAUUUAUUUGAUGCUGAAUGUUAAAAUAUCUGUUGUAGGUCGGACUACAUAGGUGACCCUAUCAGUGUUAUCUGUUGUAGGUCGGACUACAUAGGUGACCCUAUCAGUGUUAUUGUGUCAUAUUUAGCUUUUAUCUUACCUUUUACGUUGAUUUUACAAUUUUCACGAUUUAUCAUUAGAGAAAUCUAUAAAACCUUCACUUGGGUUACUAAUUCAAUCAUGCUGUUGAUGCUUCAUAAAUCCAAUCCAACUUCAAAAUAAAUGUAAUUAAAUUCUCUAAAACAAAUUUUGAAAUCAUAUCAUUUAACAGAAUUUGUACUGGACACAAAAGUCUAUCCAAAUGUUUGCAUGCUGAUAAAAAAUACAGUCACUCAUGCCCAAAAUAAAGUAGACACAGUCUUGUUAAAGAUGGAUCAUAUACACUGUCACAGUACAGAGAGAUUAGGUGUCAUGGAGAAGUAACCAUCCUUGUAAUCCUCGGACACAAGGCGACUGUGAGAAAUUGAAACUUAAUAAUUGCCAAUACAGUCAAUAUUUGAAAUAUAUUUGAAAAAUGUGUAAAGCCAUUAGUCAUAUAGCACGGUAUUUAUAACAUUCUUUGUGUUUAUAUAAUUAGACGUCUUACAGGUCAAAUCUGAUUAUAAAUAUAAAUCUAUGUUCAAAUCCGAUUGGUUUCUCUGCUAACCUGCACUAUAUAUAUGGUGAUGGAAUAAGUAGUUGCAUUACAUAUAUAACAUAGAUAAUACAAUACCGGAACCUACAAACACCGUCCUCUUGAUAUUUAUUGUUUUAGUUAUUUAAUGCCAUCAUGAAAAUACUGUAUAUGCAAAACCCAAAUAUACAAGUUUCCAGCUAAGGGUAAUGACAUAAUCUACAAAAGAUGUACACUUCCUUAAGCACAGAAUCAAUAUACGAUCAGAUGUAUUAGGUUUUUUUCUGCAGGUCAAUGUAAAUCUGAUUGAAAGAACAUUAACAGUAAAAUUAUUUUGUAGAAAUUUAAGAAAUAGUGACUAUUGGAACCAUGAAAUUAAAUGGAUUUAAUAUCCUAAAUGUAUUAUGAUUAUUAAAAAGUUGAUACGGUAGUAAAGCCUAACUAGUUUUAGUAUGUACAAGAUUCUUGGUUUUAGAUAAAAUGCAGACUAAAAUGAAAAUAUUUGAACAGAGUGUAAACAUGAAAAGGAGUUAAUAACUCGUUGAUAGUAUUAACCACUUAGAAUUAAAUGGGAAAUCAAAUUACAAAAAAUAGCUUUUCAAUAUACAGAGAAAUAAUAAAUAAAAGCUUGUUACCACUGCUGUGUGCUACUUUAAAGAUCAUUAUAUUUGUCAGUUCAUAUUUUCAUUUUAUCAAAUUUUUGCAGAUCUAAAGUAACCAAAUAUUUUAUUUCCUUUUUUGAUAAUGCAUUUGCAGCUUCUUUUCUGUAUUUCAGGAGAAUCAUUUAAUUUUUUUAAAUCACGGAAUUAUUCAAGUUUGCAAUAGAUUCCACCUGUAAAUUUAAGCAAAGCAUUAAUCUUACAACAUACCAGCUGGUACUAAAGAUUUACAGUAACCAGAAGUGUCAGGUUAUUCUUUUCACUUAAAUCUAAAUCAUGUAGAUGUGCAGACAGCGAAAAUUCUAUCCUGACAAAUAUAACGAACUUUACAGUGAUCAAUGGUGACAAGUGUAGUGUCUUGUCCAGCAGCUAAUAUCUGUACAAAGCAAAACCAACGCUGUACGUGACGAGGGAAUCACACUUACUCGUCAGAGUGUUCCACUACACAACAACAGCUCGUCUACUGAAUCUGUCAUGUUGUGAUGUCUCUACGUACACACAUUAAACCUACAAUUAUAUAUAAUAUAUAUAUCUUUAUGUACACACACAUCCUCAAAUACGAAUCUCUCAAUGAUGAGUGCAGCUAGGUCAUACACUUCUAAUGAUAUUUACAUAUGUUUUAGAUGAAAUGUAUAACAAAGGAUGGUUUUGUCAUAUCAAUCCCUCAGUGAAGGAUAAUGGUCACCUCUCACAACUCAAAAUGUCCAAACAUCUCAACAAUUUAAAUAUAUCUGAUCACCUCUGUAUAUAUGGACUGGCCAAAGUAACAAUGCACAACCUUACAAACUUAGUGAACUUAGUCAGCUUACAAACCAUGUGAAUUUGAUAUACUUACAAACCUAUAUAGAUUAGUAAGCUUAGAAAUUUAGUGGGCCAAAAAACUCUUACAAUUAGAUUGAACUUAGAUUAAUACACUUGCAAACUUACUUAGAUUCACAAGUGCACUUAUCCAGAGAGACUGGCAAGCUUACUAAACUAGCCAGCUUAGCAAAAUUACAAAUGGUGAGUCUGGCAAGCUCACUAACCAAAUAAACUUGACAAGCUUACUAACCUAUUGAGCUUGGUAAAUUGAGAGUCUGGCCCAGUGUUUAAUUCUGUUAUUCCCUCACCUCUACUUCAAACUCACUCCAUGCAAACACACAUACCCACUUUCUUAGCUUGUAUUCGCAUGCUACACUUCUUUCAUACACUAACUCAGCCUAUUAUAUCCUUUCAAACAUUCAUAUAAAUUGUUAAGCAUGUAAAAUUUCACUUAAAAUGAAUACAAUUCAUUCAGCAAAGUAAAAA
rnacentral:lncRNA from 1 species